rnacentral:rRNA from 1 species
UACAGAGGUGGCAAGCGUUGUUCGGAAUUACUGGGCGUAAAGGGCUCGUAGGCGGUUUGUCGCGUCGGGAGUGAAAACGCCGUGCUUAACACGGCGCUUGCUUUCGAUACGGGCAGACUAGAGGUAUGCAGGGGAGAACGGAAUUCCUGGUGUAGCGGUGAAAUGCGCAGAUAUCAGGAGGAACACCGGUGGCGAAGGCGGUUCUCUGGGCAUUACCUGACGCUGAGGAGCGAAAGUGUGGGGAGCGAACAGG